rnacentral:tRNA from 1 species
GCAGUGGUGGUUCAGUGGUAGAAUUCUCACUUUCCAUGUGGGAGACCUAGGUUUGAUUCCUGGCCAGUGCG